rnacentral:rRNA from 1 species
CCCAGACUCCUACGGGAGGCAGCAGUGGGGGAUAUUGCACAAUGGGGGAAACCCUGAUGCAGCGACGCCGCGUGGGUGAAGAAGCGCCUCGGCGCGUAAAGCCCUGUCAGCAGGGAAGAAAAUGACGGUACCUGAAGAAGAAGCCCCGGCUAACUACGUGCCAGCAGCCGCGGUAAUACGUAGGGGGCAAGCGUUAUCCGGAUUUACUGGGUGUAAAGGGAGCGUAGACGGCGGCGCAAGCCAGAUGUGAAAGCCCGGGGCUCAACCCCGGGACUGCAUUUGGAACUGUGCCGCUAGAGUGUCGGAGAGGCAGGCGGAAUUCCUAGUGUAGCGGUGAAAUGCGUAGAUAUCAGGAGGAACACCGGCGGCGAAGGCGGCCUGCUGGACCGCUACUGACGUUGAGGCUCGAAAGCGUGGAGAGCGAACAGGAUUAGAUACCCCCGUAUUA